rnacentral:rRNA from 1 species
UACGUAGGGUGCAAGCGUUGUCCGGAAUUAUUGGGCGUAAAGAGCUCGUAGGCGGUCUGUCGCGUCGGCUGUGAAAACCCGGAGCUCAACUCCGGGCCUGCAGUCGAUACGGGCAGACUGGAGUUCGGCAGGGGAGACUGGAAUUCCUGGUGUAGCGGUGAAAUGCGCAGAUAUCAGGAGGAACACCGGUGGCGAAGGCGGGUCUCUGGGCCGAUACUGACGCUGAGGAGCGAAAGUGUGGGGAGCGAACAGG